UACAGAGGGUGCAAGCGUUGUUCGGAAUUAUUGGGCGUAAAGCGCGUGUAGGCGGCUUGGCAAGUCGGGUGUGAAAGCCCUCAGCUCAACUGAGGAAGUGCGCCCGAAACUGCUGAGCUCGAGUACCGGAGAGGGUGGCGGAAUUCCCCAAGUAGAGGUGGAAAUUCGUAGAGAUGGGGAGGAACACCGGUGGCGAAGGCGGCCACCUGGACGGUCACUGACGCUGAGACGCGAAGCGUGGGUAGCAAACAGG
rnacentral:rRNA from 1 species